rnacentral:lncRNA from 1 species
UCAAUUUUUGGCCAUCCCUGGUGAAUUUACACAAUCUUCCCCUUCCUCGCUUUUGCAUCUCUGUAUAAACUACUUGCCCUCUCUUUGUAUCACCAAGGGAGAUUCUGACCCUUGGUUAAAGAUAAAAUAAAGGGAAGAUGGGGAUAUUGGCGGCUAGUGGUUGCCGGCUGUGGUUGUAGGUGAGAUAUUCGGAUAUUAGGCACUAUAUAUUGGAUAUCCCAUGUGAAAACAUUUAGGGUGACAAUAUAGCAAGCUAAUGCUUUCAAGUAAU